UUAGAGAGUUUGAUCCUGGCUCAGGGUGAACGCUGGCGGCGCGCUUAAUGCAUGCAAGUCGCGCGUGUCCGUGGCUUCGGCCACAUAUGGAAAAGCGGCAGACGGCUGAGUAACGCGUGAGUAACCUGCCCUCUGGUGGGGUAUAGCCACGAGAAAUCGUGAUUAAUCCCGCAUAAGAUCUCUUUACCUUGGUAUUGAGAUGAAAGCCUUCGGGCGCCGGAGGAGGGGCUCGCGUCCUAUCAGGUUGUUGGUGAGGUAAUGGCUCACCAAGCCUAUGACGGGUAGCUGGUCUGAGAGGACGACCAGCCAGAGGGGGACUGAGACACGGCCCCCACUCCUACGGGAGGCAGCAGCAGGGAAUCUUGGGCAAUGGGCGAAAGCCUGACCCAGCGACGUCGCGUGGGGGAUGAAGGCCUUUGGGCUGUAAACCCCUUUUCCAAGGGAAGAGGAAGGACGGUACCUUGGGAAUAAGCUCCGGCUAACUACGUGCCAGCAGCCGCGGUAAUACGUAGGGAGCGAGCGUUACCCGGAAUUACUGGGCGUAAAGUGCGCGUAGGCGGCUUGGUAAGUCUCUUGUGAAAGCUCCUGGCUUAACUGGGAGAGGUCAAGGGAAACUAUCUAGCUAGAGGGCAGCAGAGGAAAGCGGAAUUCUCGGUGUAGCGGUGAAAUGCGUAGAUAUCGAGAGGAACACCAGUGGCGAAGGCGGCUUUCUGGGCUGUACCUGACGCUGAGGCGCGAGAGCGUGGGGAGCAAACAGGAUUAGAUACCCUGGUAGUCCACGCCCUAAACGAUGA
rnacentral:rRNA from 1 species